rnacentral:rRNA from 1 species
UACGUAGGGUGCGAGCGUUGUCCGGAAUUAUUGGGCGUAAAGAGCUCGUAGGCGGUCUGUUGCGUCGGCUGUGAAAACCCGGGGCUCAACCCCGGGCCUGCAGCCGAUACGGGCAGACUAGAUGUCGAGCAGGGAGACGUGAAUUCCUGGUGUAGCGGUGAAAUGCGCAGAUAUCAGGAGGAACACCGGUGGCGAAGGCGGGUCUCUGGGCCGAAACUGACGCUGAGGAGCGAAAGCGUGGGGAGCAAACAGG